UUACCAAGGCUUGACAUGGAUUUCUAAGCACGUGAAAGCGUGUGACCCUUCGGGGGACUUCCACAGGUGCUGCAUGGCCGUCUCAGCUCGUGUCGUGAGAUGUUGGGUUAAGUCCCGCAACGAGCGCAACCCCUGUGAACUGUUGCCAGCACGUAAUGGUGGGGACUCUGUUCAGACUGCCCAGAUCAACUGGGAGGAAGGUGGGGACGACGUCAGGUCAGUAUGGCCCUUACGCCUUGGGCUGCACACGUACUACAAUGCCCAGUACAAUGAGAACCGAGACCGCGAGGUGGAGGAAAUCUACAAAACUGGGCCCAGUUCGGAUUGGAGGCUGCAACUCGCCUCCAUGAAGCCGGAAUCGCUAGUAAUGCUGCAUCAGCUACGGCAGCGUGAAUACGUUCCCGGGUCUGUACACACCGA
rnacentral:rRNA from 1 species